GGGAACUGCGUUNUGAACUGGGUAGCUAGAGUAUGUCAGAGGGGGGUAGAAUUCCACGUGUAGCAGUGAAAUGCGUAGAGAUGUGGAGGAAUACCGAUGGCGAAGGCAGCCCCCUGGGAUAAUACUGACGUUCAUGCUNGAAAGCGUGGGUAGCAAACAGGAUUAGAUACCCUGGUAGUNCACGCCCUAAACGAUGUCGAUUAGCUGUUGGGCAACUUGAUUGCUUAGUAGCGUAGCUAACGCGUGAAAUCGACCGCCUGGGGAGUACGGUCGCAAGAUUAAAACUCAAAGGAAUUGACGGGGACCCGCACAAGCGGUGGAUGAUGUGGAUUAAUUCGAUGCAACGCGAAGAACCUUACCUGGUCUUGACAUGUACGGAAGAACUCAGAGACGAGUUUGUGCCUUCGGGAGCCGUAACACAGGUGCUGCAUGGCUGUCGUCAGCUCGUGUCGUGAGAUGUUGGGUUAAGUCCCGCAACGAGCGCAACCCUUGUCAUUAGUUGCCAUCAUUUAGUUGGGCACUCUAAUGAGACUGCCGGUGACAAACCGGAGGAAGGUGGGGAUGACGUCAAGUCCUCAUGGCCCUUAUGACCAGGGCUUCACACGUCAUACAAUGGUCGGUACAGAGGGUAGCCAAGCCGCGAGGUGGAGCCAAUCCCAGAAAACCGAUCGUAGUCCGGAUUGCACUCUGCAACUCGAGUGCAUGAAGUCGGAAUCGCUAGUAAUCGCAGGUCAGCAUACUGCGGUGAAUACGUUCCCGGGUCUUGUACACACCGCCCGUCACACCAUGGGAGUGGGGGAUACCAGAAGUAGGUAGGGUAACCGCAAGGAGCCCGC
rnacentral:rRNA from 1 species